rnacentral:rRNA from 1 species
AUUGAACGCUGGCGGCAUGCUUUACACAUGCAAGUCGAACGGUAACAGGCCGCAAGGUGCUGACGAGUGGCGAACGGGUGAGUAAUGCAUCGGAACGUGCCCAGUCGUGGGGGAUAACUACUCGAAAGAGUAGCUAAUACCGCAUACGAUCUAUGGAUGAAAGCGGGGGACCGUAAGGCCUCGCGCGAUUGGAGCGGCCGAUGUCAGAUUAGGUAGUUGGUGGGGUAAAGGCUCACCAAGCCAACGAUCUGUAGCUGGUCUGAGAGGACGACCAGCCACACUGGGACUGAGACACGGCCCAGACUCCUACGGGAGGCAGCAGUGCGGAAUUUUGGACAAUGGGCGUAAGCCUGAUCCAGCAAUGCCGCGUGCAGGAAGAAGGCCUUCGGGUUGUAAACUGCUUUUGUACGGAACGAAACGGCUCUGGUUAAUACCCGGGGCUAAUGACGGUACCGUAAGAAUAAGCACCGGCUAACUACGUG